rnacentral:rRNA from 1 species
UGGUGGUUUGAAUUGUCUGGUUGAUUCCGUUAACGAACGAGACCUUAACCUGCUAAAUAGUCUGGCGAACUCGCGUUCGUCUUUAGACUUCUUAGAGGGACUAUGGAUGUUUAAUCCAUGGAAGUUUGAGGCAAUAACA